GCAGUCGAGCGGGCGAGGUUAGCUUCGCGUACACUGACGCUAGCGGCGGACGGGUGAGUAAUGCUUAGGAAUCUGCCUAUUAGUGGGGGACAACAUUCCGAAAGGAAUGCUAAUACCGCAUACGCCCUACGGGGGAAAGCAGGGGAUCUUCGGACCUUGCGCUAAUAGAUGAGCCUAAGUCAGAUUAGCUAGUUGGUGGGGUAAAGGCCUACCAAGGCGACGAUCUGUAGCGGGUCUGAGAGGAUGAUCCGCCACACUGGGACUGAGACACGGCCCAGACUCCUACGGGAGGCAGCAGUGGGGAAUAUUGGACAAUGGGCGGAAGCCUGAUCCAGCCAUGCCGCGUGUGUGAAGAAGGCCUUUUGGUUGUAAAGCACUUUAAGCGAGGAGGAGGCUACUUGGAUUAAUACUCUAGGAUAGUGGACGUUACUCGCAGAAUAAGCACCGGCUAACUCUGUGCCAGCAGCCGCGGUAAUACAGAGGGUGCGAGCGUUAAUCGGAUUUACUGGGCGUAAAGCGUGCGUAGGCGGCUUUUUAAGUCGGAUGUGAAAUCCCUGAGCUUAACUUAGGAAUUGCAUUCGAUACUGGGAAGCUAGAGUAUGGGAGAGGAUGGUAGAAUUCCAGGUGUAGCGGUGAAAUGCGUAGAGAUCUGGAGGAAUACCGAUGGCGAAGGCAGCCAUCUGGCCUAAUACUGACGCUGAGGUAC
rnacentral:rRNA from 1 species